GUGCUCGCUUCUGCAACACAUAUACUAAAAUUGGAACAAUACAGAGAUUAGCAUGGCCCCUGCACAAGGAUGAUAUCCAAAUUCGUGAAACAUUCCAUAUUUAA
rnacentral:snRNA from 1 species